GCGACCGGCGCACGGGUGCGUAACGCGUAUGUAACCUACCUAUAACAGGGGCAUAACACUGAGAAAUUGGUACUAAUUCCCCAUAAUAUUCGGAGAGGCAUCUCUCCGGGUUGAAAACUCCGGUGGUUAUAGAUGGACAUGCGUUGUAUUAGCUAGUUGGUGAGGUAACGGCUCACCAAGGCAACGAUACAUAGGGGGACUGAGAGGUUAACCCCCCACCACUGGUACUGAGACACGGACCAAACUCCUACGGGAGGCAGCAUG
rnacentral:rRNA from 1 species